CUCGUAGGCGGCCAACUAAGUCAUACGUGAAAUCCCUCGGCUUAACCGGGGAACUGCGUCUGAUACUGGAUGGCUUGAGUUCGGGAGAGGGAUGCGGAAUUCCAGGUGUAGCGGUGAAAUGCGUAGAUAUCUGGAGGAACACCGGUGGCGAAGGCGGCAUCCUGGACCGAUACUGACGCUGAGGAGCGAAAGCCAGGGGAGCAAACGG
rnacentral:rRNA from 1 species